UGGGGGAUAUUGCACAAUGGGCGAAAGCCUGAUGCAGCGACGCCGCGUGGGGGAUGAAGGCCUUCGGGUUGUAAACUUCUUUUGCUCUGAACAAGGCAUGCUAAUGGGUGUGUUGAGUGUAGGGGUUGAUUAGCGCCGGCUAACUACGUGCCAGCAGCCGCGGUAAUACGUAGGGCGCGAGCGUUGUCCGGAAUUAUUGGGCGUAAAGGGCUUGUAGGUGGCUGGUUGCGUCUGUCGUGAAAGCUCAUGGCUUAACUGUGGGUUUGCGGUGGGUACGGGCUGGCUUGAGUGCAGUAGGGGAGGCUGGAAUUCCUGGUGUAGCGGUGGAAUGCGCAGAUAUCAGGAGGAAUACCGGUGGCGCAGGCGGGUCUCUGGGCUGUUACUGACACUGAGGAGCGAAAGCAUGGGGAGCGAACAGG
rnacentral:rRNA from 1 species